rnacentral:lncRNA from 1 species
GUUCCCCUUCUGCUGUUCUUGUUGCUGCUUGGUGCUGUGUGAAGCGCACCAGGGCAGAGCCCGCUGGGGGCUCACAAGUGGGAGCGGUAAUUGCGAUUGGCUGUGGGAAAGGACAGGUUUGCAACAGAGACACGAAUUAGAACAUUCCCAUCAAGACUCUUGUUGCUCAAAUCUGCAUUUAGUUAUUGGAAAUAAUCUCAGGCCAAGAUUUCAGGGUCCUGUGAGAGCUGCCUCCAAGAGGGAGGGCCUGGCAGCAAUGUGUGCCUAAGUUUGGCAAUCUCCUCCCCAUCCCUCACUCACCGUCAUCGCCCCGUUUCCUACUUUUCAGGUUGCCCUUACGGUAUUUUCUUUUGCUGCCACCUCUCUUGACUCCCUUGUGAGGAGAUCGGCUCUUGCUCCUCCUCAUGCCAUGACUCUUUAAUUUGCGGCUGGUCGACAUGGUAAGUUCUGCCAAAAUGAGGGGCUUUGCAAGGCCCGGGGGCCAGGAGUCUGGGUAUUUAAGGCCUUGGCCAUUGUGACAGGGAAGGGGCAUGGCUCAGCAGGUGGGCGGGGCUCUACUGUGCUGUCACUCACCUUUGCUGCACUUUGGUCACAUUUGUGAAAUAAGGUGGUCCUUUUCGUGCAGCUCAAGGGCUGCCCUCAGUUUUGAGGUCCUUUUUAUGUUAAGUGAGGCUUUCCCAGAGAGGUGUUAUUGAGAAACUGAAUCCCAGCCCUGUGCCAGGCAUUGGAUGAGUACAAGAGACCAUUCAGAUAUGCUUCUCCUGCCUGUAGGAAAUGUAACAGUCAUUGAGUGUGUGUGUAUGCAUGACUGUUUAAGUCUCUCACAGCAUCCAGAGAUAAUAAAUUUAUUUCUGUAAGGACUUGACUCUACAGAACCCAAUUCAAUAUGAUCAAAAUAGAAAUAUUCCUUCUUUUUCAUCUAGGUCAGGAUUUCUCAGUCUUGGCACUGUUGACACAAUGGGCAGGGUAACUUUCAGUGGGCUGUCUUGUGCACCCUAGGAUGUUUGGCAACAUCCCUGGCCAUUACCCACUGGACACCAGAGAAGCCUGGCAGCUAUGACAACCCAAAAUAUUCCCAAACAUUGCCACCUGUUUCUUUGGGAGGCUGGGGAAGUGAGGGAAAAAAUGGCUCUGGUUCAGAACAAUUAACCUAAUCAUUUUUUAAAAUUCAGUCACAGAUAUUGAUCACAUAGCAUAUGCCAUACAUUUAGGUGGUAGAAAAUUAGUGGAGGAUAAACACACGUAGAUACUGUGCUCAUGGAACUCUCAGCCCACUGGGGAGAAAGCCAUUCAUCAGAUGUCUACAUAAAUCAGUGAGUAAGUACUUACGGAGUCAUUUUGGCUGGAGAAGGGCAGAGGGAAACUCCCUACAUGGUACAGGAUGAGGCUGGAGGGAGAGACAGAGAUCAAACCAUGAUCAAGUACAUUGGGAAGCCUUUAAAAAUGUUAAGAGGAUGGCAUGUGAGAUUAGAGGGUGCCAAGUGGGUGAUGUAUUGACUGGAGGAGCUGUGUAAAGGGAGAUGCUACUGUCAACAUCAAUGGUUCAGCAGAGAGAAAGAUUUGAUGAUGGUUUAGGUCUGGCCAGGAAAGGUGUUGAUUGAGAUCUAAAGUAGACAAGAGACCAAGGCUUGGUGACGGAUUGAAUUUGGGAGGUGAAAGCAGAUGGUGUCAAGGGUGUGGCUUUUGUUUCUGUAUAAUGCAGUUAUCUGGAUGCUGGUGCCAUUCAUGGGGAUAAAGGCCAGACAUGGGGAGAGUGAUGAUCAUGUACUUGGUAUAAGACAUACCAGCUUUGAAGUGCCUUUGACACUUACAAAUAGAUAUAUUGAAUGAUUAUUGGUGUAUAAGUCAUCCAGCCUUUCCUUUUUCCUCCAUUACACCUCAUAGUAAAUGCUUUGCUUUUGAAAAUGUUUCUUUCUUUUUUUUUUUUUGAGACCGAGUCUUCUCUUUUGCUCAGGCUGGAGUGCAGUGGCACAAUCUUGGUUCACUGCAACAUCUGCCUCCUGUGUUCCAGCAAUUCUCCUGCCUCAGCCUUCUGAGUAGCUGGGAUUACAGGCGUGUGCCACCAUGCCUAGCUAAUUUUUGUAUUUUUAGUACAGACAGCGUUUCGCCAUGUUGGCCAGGCUAGUCUUGAACUCCUGAUCUCAGGUGAUCUGCCCACCUUGGCCUCCCAGAGUGCUGGGAUUACAGACGUGAGCCACUGUGCCCGCCUCAUUCGGAUUUCUAUAGAACUUGUUUGCUAUUUCUUCCAUUUGUCUCUCCUCUCUCCAUUGUCAUUACCCUCAUUCAAGAACUGAGCAUCUUGUAUGCAGGAGAUCCUUAGCAAAAGUUGGUUGAAUAGAAGAGCGAAAGUAGUUCAAGUCCCACUCCCUGGUUUUCUGAUAUCUAUAGAUGGCAAAUUGAGUUUUGAAACCCAGAUUCCUUGUAUAGCCACCAUAUGUGACACUUUCCAUUUUCCUGCUUCUGGGCAGGUCUCUCUGGAGACCUUCUAUUGGUGACUUGUUGGUGACUUUUAUUCACAUGAAGAAGUUCUAUAAAACAGGCUGCUGGCUUGCUUGUUGGUAGUCCAGACCUUCUGCGUCCACUCAAGGCUGGUUGUUUCUCCUACAAACAUGCCCCCAUGAAAGCAGGGACCUCUGUGAAAGCAGGAAUUGAGAAAUUGGGCUCACUACUGAAUAUUCCCUGGGAGUUCAUCAGUCCUGCCACAGAAUAGAAGCUCAGUCUGCUGGAGUUUGCUGGGGGUCUAUUCCAGACGCUGUUGGCCUGGAUAUCACCAACGGAUGCUGCAGAACAGCAAAGAUUGCUGCCUGCUCCUUCCUCUGGAAGCUUUGUCCCAGAAGGGCUCCUGCCAAAUGCCAGCCGGAGCUCUCCCGUAAGAGAUGGGGCCUCCACGUGAAAAGUAACUACAAAACAGAACCAGAAAAUAGUCAUGCUGUUCAAGUGAGUUGGCAUAUCACUUCAUGCUACUUUGAAAUAAAAUUUCCUCUUAUUUUCUUAUGGA